UACGAAGGGGGCUAGCGUUGCUCGGAAUCACUGGGCGUAAAGGGUGCGUAGGCGGGUCUUUAAGUCAGGGGUGAAAUCCUGGAGCUCAACUCCAGAACUGCCUUUGAUACUGAAGAUCUUGAGUUCGGGAGAGGUGAGUGGAACUCCGAGUGUAGAGGUGAAAUUCGUAGAUAUUCGGAAGAACACCAGUGGCGAAGGCGGCUCACUGGCCCGGUUCUGACGCUGAGGCGCGAAAGCGUGGGGAGCAAACAGG
rnacentral:rRNA from 1 species